UACGUAGGGUGCAAGCGUUGUCCGGAAUCAUUGGGCGUAAAGCGCGCGUAGGUGGCUUCGUAAGUCCGUUGUGAAAGUCAAAGGCUCAACCUUUGAAUGCCGAUGGAUACUGCGAAGCUAGAGUACGGAAGAGGCGAGUGGAAUUCCUGGUGUAGCGGUGGAAUGCGCAGAUAUCAGGAGGAACACCAAUAGCGAAGGCAGCUCGCUGGGACGGUACUGACGCUGAGACGCGAAAGCGUGGGGAGCGAACAGG
rnacentral:rRNA from 1 species